UGCUAAUACCGCAUAACAACUUGGACCGCAUGGUCCGAGCUUGAAAGAUGGCUUCGGCUAUCACUUUUGGAUGGUCCCGCGGCGUAUUAGCUAGAUGGUGGGGUAACGGCUCACCAUGGCAAUGAUACGUAGCCGACCUGAGAGGGUAAUCGGCCACAUUGGGACUGAGACACGGCCCAAACUCCUACGGGAGGCAGCAGUAGGGAAUCUUCCACAAUGGACGAAAGUCUGAUGGAGCAACGCCGCGUGAGUGAAGAAGGGUUUCGGCUCGUAAAACUCUGUUGUUAAAGAAGAACAUAUCUGAGAGUAACUGUUCAGGUAUUGACGGUAUUUAACCAGAAAGCCACGGCUAACUACGUGCCAGCAGCCGCGGUAAUACGUAGGUGGCAAGCGUUGUCCGGAUUUAUUGGGCGUAAAGCGAGCGCAGGCGGUUUUUUAAGUCUGAUGUGAAAGCCUUCGGCUCAACCGAAGAAGUGCAUCGGAAACUGGGAAACUUGA
rnacentral:rRNA from 2 species